AUCCGCUUCAGUCUUUCCCCAAGAGAAGAUCCUUCCUUGUGGGAGCUUGUGGUAUCCUGUGUUGCUUACCGAUGAAAUGGAAUUCGAUGGCUUUGCUGUGUUGAUCCGUCAUGUGCCCUUUUGGGGUGCUGGGCGGACGUGAGGCGGGCUCUGUGUUCCUGACGUGCCUAGUGUGUUAUCGCUUGGCCGUUGUUGCCCAUGGAGUCUCUGCUUGUUCUCUCGGAUGCGGAAUGCUAUGCAGGGGCGUGAGGUCUUGACCUCAUCACGCCCUAGCACUGUCCCUUGACUCGAACGACUGCUGUGCUCGUCUUUGAUCUUCCCGACCAAGGCCUCGUAGUGGGGCUUACUGGACGAGGGUUGCUCAUGCGGGCUUCGGCGUCGAAGAGGAAUGC
rnacentral:misc_RNA from 1 species